GAUGAACGCUAGCGGCAGGCCUAAUACAUGCAAGUCGAACGAUACCAGAGAGCUUGCUUUCUGGAAAAGUGGCGCACGGGUGCGUAACGCGUAUGCAACCUACCUUAAUCAGGGGGAUAGCCUCUCGAAAGAGAGAUUAACACCGCAUAACAUCAUUUUACGGCAUCGUAGAAUGAUCAAAUAUUUAUAGGAUUAAGAUGGGCAUGCGUGACAUUAGCUAGUUGGUGAGGUAACGGCUCACCAAGGCUACGAUGUCUAGGGGAUCUGUAGAGGAUGACCCCCCACACUGGUACUGAGACACGGACCAGACUCCUACGGGAGGCAGCAGUAAGGAAUAUUGGUCAAUGGAGGCAACUCUGAACCAGCCAUGCCGCGUGCAGGAAGACGGCCCUAUGGGUUGUAAACUGCUUUUAUACGGGAAUAAACCUCUCUACGUGUAGGGAGUUGAAUGUACUGUAAGAAUAAGGAUCGGCUAACUCCGUGCCAGCAGCCGCAGUAACAC
rnacentral:rRNA from 1 species